UGCGUAGGCGGCUUGGUAGGUCUGGUGUGAAAGCCCCGGGCUCAGCCCGGGAAGGGCACUAGAAACUGCCAAGCUAGAGUGCCGGAGGGGAGAGUGGAAUUCCUGUGUAGCGGUGAAAUGCGUAGAUAUCAGGAGGAAUACCGGUGGCGAAAGCGACUCUCUGGACGGCAACUGACGCUGAGGCACGAAAGCGUGGGGAGCAAACA
rnacentral:rRNA from 1 species